CCCGCCCGUCCCCUACUGCAGUGUCUCGGCGCCGCACGCCCGCACCGGCCUCAGUCUUGCUGAAUUGAGCGGGCCCAGCCUAAGGCGGCAACAACGGCUCUCGGACCGACCGUGAGCCUGGGGACUUUGUCUCCAACGACUGCAGGUGCAGCGGCCUGAGUUCUAAAUGCAGGUUGAAGACUACAGGUACAAGCCAAUGAAGCUGGAAUGCCCUGACACUGGUAUUUUAACUGACUUACACCAACUAUCACUCUGCAGUUUACAACACACAAGUGCCUCCAGUGAGGUCAACUAUUCUCACAUAACUUGUAGCAACCACGUAUCUGCACUGGCUUAGGAGUUUAGGGCAGUGGGAUAGUGCUGGUGGUUUAAUUCUCACAACUCUGUGAAGUGGAUACUGUAAAAUUACAGAUGAAGCAGUAGUUCAGGUAGUGAAUUGAGAUACCAUCACAUAUGCAUAGCCCUGAACAAGGAGCCUCAUAUGUACCUUUUUGGCUAUGUAAACUAUGAAAAGUCACUUCUCUCUUUUGAGAUUUACUGUCCUGGUUAAACGGUAGAAGUAUUCAGAUGGGGAUUAGGUCAGUUGGAGGCGGGGGCGGGGAGUGUUAAGGACCAGAGACUUAUUGUUGGGAAUAUAAGCUCUUUAUAGUAUAUAAUUACAUUGAACCUAAAAGAAGUCAAAAUUUGGCACAAAAGGAGCAUCCAUCAGCAUGUUAAAUGCUUCUGAUGAAUGUAGCAUAAUGAGCUGUAAAAAGGAAUUUAAAGGACGCAAUGAUGCUAGAUAGUUAGAAUUUGAAAGUAUUGGAGGUGAUGGGAAAGUUUUCAUAUGAGAAGAAAUGUGUCAGUGUAGCAAGGUUAACAGCCCAGUGUGUGCUAGGAGUUCUUCCUGUUGAUCAGCUCUGAAUGUUUACAAAUACCUCAUUUUCCAGAAGUCUUAAACGUAUUCACCUUGGGUUCAUUUUUAAUGCUUAUUUCAAAAUAUUGUAUUAGCCUCUGUUUAAACUUCAUUUCUUGUUAUAUUCCAUAUUAUUCUGUAAAAUCUAGCUUCCUAAUAUAGGAAAUUUAUGGAACAAAUGUUAGCGUAAUUGCUAGAGGGAAAACAAGGUAAGGGAAACAGGAAGGGCGUAUGUAUGCACUGUGAGUGGAGGACAUGAUAAUUUCAGAUAGAGCUGGUCGGAGAAUGACUUAAAACUUUCCCACGUUUCUAUAAGCACUAUCUUUCCUCCCAAGUGCUCUUGUUAUGGAUUUCUGUAGCACCCUGUAAUGGCCUUAUCAUACUUGGAAGCACAUUUUGUAGUUGCUUGUGAGCUUGCCUAAUUGCCCCUGCCCAUAAAGUCCCUCUUGGUUCCCACUAUAUUCCUGGGGUCUAACCAAGUGCCUGGCAUACUAUAGGUUCUCAGAUAUUUAACUUGAGCCCUAAACCCAUGAUUAUAGUACAAGGAGCAGUAUCAUUUAUAAUUAAGUUUAGUACUGUCGUUAAUUGUGUUGGAAUGAAUUAUAAAUUGCAUUCAAGUGGGUGGCUUACUUAGGAGUGGCAUAAUAAGAGCCUAGAUUCAGAUCCCCACCCUGUAUGAUCUUAGACCAGUUACUUCUUCAGUUUCUUUAUCUGUAAGUUGAUAAUAAUGACAGUUACUAAAAAAACCCCUGGUGAGUAGUAAGCACUUAGUAGUGCUAUAGGACCAUUUUGACAAUACCGUAUGAUCAUUGUAAUAUUGAAUCAAAAUGAAAAUACUGAUACUUGAUAUUUAUACGGUACUAAAAUGCUGGCUUUAAUGUUCAUAAAAAAUGAUAAGAGUACCUACUAGGGCCAGGUACUAUUCUAGGUGAACACAUCCAUGAACAAAGCAGAUCAGUGGAUGUGAUUGCGACUGGUCCACUGAUGGAGGCCUCCAGUGUAAAGGCUUGUGAUGCUUUCUUAAUUGAGUGCUGUGACUAGUUAGCAGUGUGCUGGCGGAGAGGGUAUUCGGUAGGCUAAAAGCCUACAUGAGGUGACUUCAAAUGCUAACUACAAAAGUCUGAAGGCUCUAGCAAAGAUCCCAAGGAUAACCACUGGUUUCACAAAUGGCUCCACUCCACUGAGUCCUGGUGCUGGUUCUUUGCCCCUUGAGGAGUUACUUGGGCUGGGUAGACAGGUGGAGACCCUGGGUCUGCCACAGAUCCUCCCUCUCCCACUAACCAACUUCAACCAGUUACAGUCUUGUUCAUACUUUGGUUUUCCAAAUUUUUUUUUUUUUUUUUAAA